rnacentral:rRNA from 1 species
UACGUAGGGGGCUAGCGUUGUCCGGAAUCAUUGGGCGUAAAGCGCGUGUAGGCGGUCCGGUAAGUCCGCUGUGAAAGUCGAGGGCUCAACCCUCGAAUGCCGGUGGAUACUGUCGGGCUUGAGUACGGGAGAGGCGAGUGGAAUUCCUGGUGUAGCGGUGAAAUGCGCAGAUAUCGGGAGGAACACCAAUGGCGAAGGCAGCUCGCUGGGACGGUACUGACGCUGAGACGCGAAAGCGUGGGGAGCAAACAGG